rnacentral:rRNA from 1 species
CGUGCCUAAUACAUGCAAGUCGAACGCUUCACUUCGGUAAGAGUGGCGAAGGGGUGAGUAAUACAUAAGUAACCUGGCAUCUACAGGGGGAUAACUGAUGGAAACGUCAGCUAAGACCGCAUAGGUGUAGAGAUCGCAUGAACUCUAUAUGAAAAGUGCUACGGGACUGGUAGAUGAUGGACUUAUGGCGCAUUAGCUUGUUGGUAGGGUAACGGCCUACCAAGGCGACGAUGCGUAGCCGACCUGAGAGGGUGACCGGCCACACUGGGACUGAGACACGGCCCAGACUCCUACGGGAGGCAGCAGUAGGGAAUUUUCGGCAAUGGGGGAAACCCUGACCGAGCAACGCCGCGUGAAGGAAGAAGUAAUUCGUUAUGUAAACUUCUGUCAUAGAGGAAGAACGGUGGAUAUAGGGAAUGAUAUCCAAGUGACGGUACUCUAUAAGAAAGCCACGGCUAACUACGUGCCAGCAGCCGCGGUAUACGUAGGUGGCGAGCGUUAUCCGGAAUUAUUGGGCGUAAAGAGGGAGCAGGCGGCACUAAGGGUCUGUGGUGAAAGAUCGAAGCUUAACUUCGGUAAGCCAUGGAAACUGUAGAGCUAGAGUGUGUGAGAGGAUCGUGGAAUUCCAUGUGUAGCGGUGAAAUGCGUAGAUAUAUGGAGGAACACCAGUGGCGAAGGCGACGAUCUGGCGCAUAACUGACGCUCAGUCCCGAAAGCGUGGGGAGCAAAAAGGAUUAGAUACCCUAGUAGUCCACGCCGUAAAACGAUGAGUAAUAAGUGUUGGGUGUCAAAGCCUCAGUGCUGCAGUUAACCGCAAUAAGUUACUCCGCCUGAGUAGUACGUUCGCAAGAAUGAAACUCAAAGGAAUUGACGGGGGCCCGCACAACCGCUGGAGCAUGUGGUUUAAUUCGAAGCAACGCGAAGACACCUUACCAGGUCUUGACAUCGAUCUAAAGGCUCCAGAGAUGGAGAGAUAGCUAUAGAGAAGACAGGUGGCGCAUGGUUGUCGUCAGCUCGUGUCGUGAGAUGUUGGGUUAAGUCCCGCAACGAGCGCAACCCCUGUUGCCAGUUGCCAGCAUUAAGUUGGGGACUCUGGCGAGACUGCCGGUGACAAGCCGGAGGAAGGCGGGGAUGACGUCAAAUCAUCAUGCCCCUUAUGACCUGGGCUACACACGUGCUACAAUGGACAGAGCAGAGGGAAGCGAAGCCGCGAGGUGGAGCGAAACCCAUAAAACUGUUCUCAGUUCGGACUGCAGUCUGCAACUCGACUGCACGAAGAUGGAAUCGCUAGUAAUCGCGAAUCAGCAUGUCGCGGUGAAUACGUUCUCGGGCCUUGCACA